rnacentral:lncRNA from 1 species
GUGCUCAAAGCACAGCUGAACACAGCCCACCCUGCAAUAAUUAACUCAUUAGUCAACCUCGACAAUAUUUUUUAUACCGCAACCUCUAGAUUAGAAAAAAAAAUUAGUUUGGAAGUAGAACAAGGUUUCAAAUACCGAUACGUAAAGAUCUCGAUACUAAUGUUUUGGUCAAUAUUUGGAAGUAGAACAAGGUUUCAAAUAUUGACCAAAACAUUAGUAUCGAGAUCUUUACGUAUCGGUAUUUUGGCCCACUGAUACUUAUAUAUUUACCAAUGUGUCAAUUGAUAUUGUCCGAUACAAGCCGAGACCAAGGCCGCAUCACCAAUUUCAAUAUCAACACCGAUUUAAAACCAUGAAGUAACAUAACAUAAUUUAGUAUGUGGUAACAUCAAUUUUUAUAUGUUCUAGU